rnacentral:lncRNA from 1 species
GACAGAACCAAAUAGAAAUAUGGUGUAAUAAAUAGGUCAACAAAAUCAAACAGUGCUACCCAGCCUAUUAAGUCCUUCCCAGGAACCUUGCUCUUUCCAGCCACACUGCAGGAUACAGUCUAACUAUGAAGAAGAGGCUUUUAAUGUGAUGUUACAAUUUGAGCAUCAAAAUCAUUAUUGUUGCCAUCAUCAUACCUUCCAGGAGCAAGGAAUUCGUAGAGUCCUGAAGUACCAGUCUACCUUGUCCUAAACUGUCCUCAGUCCUGACCAACCUGCAGGGCGCAAAGUUCACAAACAAGGAAGUGGAUAUUCUUGUGCAGGUAUCUGGAACGAGAUUUCUAAAUACAAGGGCAGUAAACAAACCUCAUGGUUCUACCUUCAGAACACAUCCAUAGCUGGACCACUUGGUACCACACAGGCGCUAGCUACCAUGCACCACCUCCAGGAUCGUGGCAAUCAUCUCCUGCCAGCCUCCCACUUCUCCCCUUAGCCUGCUCUGUCCCUUCCCAACACAGCAGUCAAGCGGCUGAAACACCGCGUCAUGGGCUCAAUCAUUUAUGCCGGUCUCCACCCAACCAGGAAAAGAACCCAUUCUAGACAUCUCAAUCAGGGAACGCACUG